GAUGUAGAACGUAGCGAAAUGCGAUAAGUAAUGUGAAUUGCAGAAUUCAGUGAAUCAUCGAAUCUUUGAACGCACAUUGCGCCCGCCAGUAUUCUGGCGGGCAUGCCUGUUCGAGCGUCAUUACAACCCUCAGGCCCCCGGGCCUGGCGUUGGGGAUCGGCGGAAGCCCCCUGUGGGCACACGCCGUCCCUCAAAUACAGUGGCGGUCCCGCCGCAGCUUCCAUUGCGUAGUAGCUAACACCUCGCAACUGGAGAGCGGCGCGGCCAUGCCGUAAAACACCCAACUUCUGAAUGUUGACCUCGAAUCAGGUAGGAAUACCCGCUGAACUUAAGCAUAUCAAUAAGCGGAGGA
rnacentral:misc_RNA from 1 species